rnacentral:misc_RNA from 1 species
GCCAAGAUCUUCAAGGACAGGACCAAAAGAUGACACAACAGGCGCACAACCAGGAAAGAAAUCAAGGAAGGAGACCUUGUCUUGCUGUUCAACUCAACACUAAAGCUCUUCCCAUGAAAGCUGCAGUCAAAUGGUCCGAACGCUUAAAGGUCACUCAAAUUUUUCCGCAUGGAGCAGUAGAAGUAUGGAGCGAAACCUCUGGUGCCUGCAAGGUUAAUGGGCAGAGAUUAAAGCCAUACUUUUCAGAAAACACAAUUGAGAAAGGAUUCACACAAUCCUCCAGCAAU